rnacentral:lncRNA from 1 species
GAAGAAAUGAUUUCAAUGGAAUAUAUGAAGAACAAUGUAUUUGGAUUACUUGAACAAGCCUCAAGUUAAUCCCCAAGAAAGAAAAUAACUUUGAAUUUAUACCCAAGAUGAACAACCUUCAAUCUUGUAAAAUUCUCUCCAAGUUUUCUCUCAAUUUUCUCUCUAAAAUCGGGCUCAAGGGUUAUAUCAUAAUGAAGAGG